CGUGCUACCUCCAGUUCCUAGAGGAGCCCUUUGAGCCUGCAGUGAGAAAAAGAGGUCCAAGAGUCACCUGGGAACUGGAGAAGAGUGUUAA
ensembl:miRNA